UGGGGAAUUUUGGACAAUGGGGGAAACCCUGAUCCAGCCAUCCCGCGUGUGCGAUGAAGGCCUUCGGGUUGUAAAGCACUUUUGGCAGGAAAGAAACGUCAUGGGUUAAUACCCCGUGAAACUGACGGUACCUGCAGAAUAAGCACCGGCUAACUACGUGCCAGCAGCCGCGGUAAUACGUAGGGUGCAAGCGUUAAUCGGAAUUACUGGGCGUAAAGCGUGCGCAGGCGGUUCGGAAAGAAAGAUGUGAAAUCCCAGAGCUCAACUUUGGAACUGCAUUUUUAACUACCGGGCUAGAGUGUGUCAGAGGGAGGUGGAAUUCCGCGUGUAGCAGUGAAAUGUGUAGAUAUGCGGAGGAACACCGAUGGCGAAGGCAGCCUCCUGGGAUAACACUGACGCUCAUGCACGAAAGCGUGGGGAGCAAACAGG
rnacentral:rRNA from 1 species